rnacentral:lncRNA from 1 species
GGAGCCACCAUUGACCAGGGAUUAUUCACACUUUAUGCAACCCAACGUCAAUACUCAUCAAUCUCAUCCAAAUAAUCCAUAUGGAUAUGGUAAUGGACCUUACGGUUAUAGUACUAACGUUAUAACCGGAAACCCUUGUUCGGCUGGCUCGAUAGUCUACGUUAGAUCGGCUGCCGGAGCUGGACCUGGACUUUCCACAGGCUCUUCACCCGUGGAAUCCUCUAUAUUUUCACUCACAGGAGCCACCAUUGACCAGGGAUUAUUCACACUUUAUGCAACCCAACGUCAAUACUCAUCAAUCUCAUCCAAAUAAUCCAUAUGGAUAUGGUAAUGGACCUUACGGUUAUAGUACUAACGUUAUAACCGGAAACCCUUGUUCGGCUGGCUCGAUAGUCUACGUUAGAUCGGCUGCCGGAGCUGGACCUGGAGCUGGAACUGGAACUGGAACUGGAGCAUUAGCCCCACAUCAGCUCGGAAUGGUUCAGAUGCAAAGGGGUGGUGGGGUUGGGGUUGAGCAGAUGG